rnacentral:rRNA from 1 species
UACGUAGGGUGCGAGCGUUUAAUCGGAAUUACUGGGCGUAAAGCGUGCGCAGGCGGUUUUGUAAGCCAGAUGUGAAAUCCCCGGGCUUAACCUGGGAAUGGCAUUUGGGACUGCAAAGCUGGAGUGCGGCAGAGGAGACUGGAAUUCCUGGUGUAGCAGUGAAAUUCGUAGAUAUCGGGAGGAACACCUGUGGCGAAGGCGGCCGAUCUGGACG